CACUCCGGUGGCCUAGUGGUUAGAGCAACAGCCUUGGAUGCAGGAGGUUGUGGGUUUGAUCCCAAGUCGAGUCA